rnacentral:lncRNA from 1 species
UGUCGGUGGCAGGUUCGGUGGUGGCGGCGGUGGAGGCGGCGGCGGUGGCUGCUACAAGUGUGGUGAGGAUGGUCACUUUGCCCGUGAAUGUACCAGUGGAGGUCGUUGAACAUGGGUUGAAACCCUUUGUUCACUUUUUCUUUUAACCUGUUAUGUUUUUGUCUAAAUGUGGUGCCUAUGGUAACCUUUCGUAUGGGUCUUUGCUACUGUUUCUUCGACUAUGGUUGUUUGCUUAUUUUUUUCUUCUGCUUAUUAGUAGUAUCCGUUAUACGGUUUAGUUCAGUUUGAAACAUUUGGUAAUGGGGAGUCUGAUAUUUUGUGGUGCUGCAUUGAAUACUCUCUGUACAUGUUUACAUACAUGUUUCUGAAGAAAUAUCAA